rnacentral:rRNA from 1 species
CCUACGGGGGGCAGCAGUGGGGAAUAUUGGACAAUGGGGGCAACCCUGAUCCAGCCAUGCCGCGUGUGUGAAGAAGGCCCUCGGGUUGUAAAGCACUUUCAGUGAGGAAGAACGCCUGGUGGUUAAUACCCAUCAGGAAAGACAUCACUCACAGAAGAAGCACCGGCUAACUCCGUGCCAGCAGCCGCGGUAAUACGGAGGGUGCGAGCGUUAAUCGGAAUUACUGGGCGUAAAGCGCGCGUAGGUGGCUUGAUAAGCCGGUUGUGAAAGCCCCGGGCUCAACCUGGGAACGGCAUCCGGAACUGUCAAGCUAGAGUGCAGGAGAGGAAGGUAGAAUUCCCGGUGUAGCGGUGAAAUGCGUAGAGAUCGGGAGGAAUACCAGUGGCGAAAGCGGCCUUCUGGACUGACACUGACACUGAGGUGCGAAAGCGUGGGUAGCAAACAGGAUUAGAUACCCUUGUAGUC